UUCAUUUGAUUUAAGAAUGUUGAAUUAAUUGACUUAUAUGAUUAAAAAUUAAAUUAUAUAGGUUGUAGUAAAGACAAUAUAAGCACUGCCACUGAUGGAUUGAGUCAAGUGUUGGCAUCCAGGGCACUAGGUAUUCAAUUUUAUAUAUAAUAGUCACUAUUAGUUGCCACCACAUGUAUAACUCAUUGGAAUACUUUGUGGUUGUUGAAGGUACUGUAAAUGCUUGGGAAGUUAAACAAUCAACUUCCUAUUCAGAGGAUAAGGAAAAUCAUAAUAACAAUAAUGUGGUUGACCAGAUAGAUAUAAAUCAAGAAGAAAGUACUCAUUGUCGUCAAAACCAGGUUAAGAGUAAUGUUUCUGGAACAAUUUCGUCAGCAAGCCAAUCGACACUAAGCCCACUAUCAAAAGGUAACGCUACAGUAAUAAAACUCACAUAUAUUUAAUAGAUAGCUAUCCCUAUAAACUGAUAUCAAAAUUAAAGAGAUUUAUACAGAGUCAGCAAGGCACGCGAGACUUGAAAGAGCACUCAAGUUACUUAAGAAGAAAAAGGAAACUAUAGUAUCACAGAACCAAAAAGGAACCAUUUCAGCGAUCACAUUCACCACACAAAUCACCAAUGUUACAUCAAUGGAAGGUAUCAAAAGAUUUUGGAUUAAUUACAUAGUUAACUCGAAUGAAAGUUGUUACAUGUUAUAUGGAUAAAUAAGAGUGGAGCUGCUAAUAAUCAGGAUAUUAUUAAGCAUAUUCAAGUUGAUAAAGGUAUAAUGUUACAAUUCAUUAUGGUUCUUAAGAUAAGUAAUAAAAACGGUAUCCUAAAAUGAACUUUUUUGUGUGUACUUAUUGAUAAUCCUCCAAAUAGAUUUAACAAGAUUGGCUAGAAGGUAUCGAAGGCAAAUAAUGGACACAAGAAGGACCCCUGAAAUCUCAAACCAUGGCCAAGGUGCGGUGUAUUUUGUGUAUGUAGUGUGUUUUUUUAGUUUAGAGGAUUAAUAAGAAUUUAUA